AUUGAACGCUGGCGGCAUGCCUUACACAUGCAAGUCGAACGGCAGCACGGGAGCAAUCCUGGUGGCGAGUGGCGAACGGGUGAAUAAUAUAUCGGAACGUGCCCAGUCGUGGGGGAUAACGUAGCGAAAGCUACGCUAAUACCGCAUACGAUCUAUGGAUGAAAGCGGGGGAUCGCAAGACCUCGCGCGAUUGGAGCGGCCGAUAUCAGAUUAGGUAGUUGGUGAGGUAAAGGCUCACCAAGCCGACGAUCUGUAGCUGGUCUGAGAGGACGACCAGCCACACUGGGACUGAGACACGGCCCAGACUCCUACGGGAGGCAGCGGUGGGGAAUUUUGGACAAUGGGCGCAAGCCUGAUCCAGCAAUGCCGCGUGCAGGAUGAAGGCCUUCGGGUUGUAAACUGCUUUUGUACGGAACGAAACGGUGAGCUCUAAUACAGUUUGCUAAUGACGGUACCGUAAGAAUAAGCACCGGCUAACUACGUGCCAGCCGCCGCGGUAA
rnacentral:rRNA from 1 species